UGCUGGCACCUCACAGUAACUACUGCACUCUUUCCACUCAGUGCCCUCCCUCCUCUGAGCUCACACCCCCACCCCUCCACCUUGCAGGCUGUCCUGUAAUUUCCUUGGAGAUGAGGUGGCUGCUGAGUUGGCCCAGGUCCUGCCGCAGAUGGGGCAGCUGAAGAUAGUGGACUUGGAGAAGAAUCAGAUCACAGCAUAUGGAGCCCAACUCCUGGCCCAAGGGCUGGUCCAGGGAUCCUGCGUCCCAGUCAUUCGCCUCCAGAACAACCCCAUUCCUAACGAUGUGGCCCAGAGUCUACAGAGCCAGGAACCCAGGCUGGACUUCUCCUUUGACCAGCAGACUCUUUGAGGAACCCAACAGACCUCUCAAGAGUCCAGUCCAGUGACAGCCACAUCGCCCACCAGGAGGGGGGCUCAGAAGAACCUCAGUUGGUGCCCAGCAUCCUGCGAACGCUCCAGGGGGGAAGAGUACACUUUCCCUGUCACACUCCCUAGGGAGCACAUUCUUUAGGGACUGAGAGCUUUGUUUGACCAAAAGAGGACCAUAUAUCAUAUAUCAUACAUGACAUGUGUUACCAAUGGGACAUUGACAUUACGAGAGUAUUAUGAGGUCAUAUAUACAGGAAAGACUGUGUAUGGUGCACUAUGACCUCUUGACACGGGAAGGUCAUACUCGGAGUAGGUCAAAUGUGGCAUUACAUGGAAUUUGUGGCAUGACGCCUGGUCAUAGCCUCCUUGCACUGUAAUUGGCAAUACACAUGAUCAGGAAUCCACUUACGACAUGAUGUCCAUAUCACAUGACACACAGCUUGCCAGGGGACCACAGAUAAGUCCUAGACCUAAUUUAUUACUAUUUUUAUUUUAAAAAAAAAAAACCAUGAAGUUAGGCUAAUGGUAUAGGCUAUGCUGUAUGAACAGCCUUUUAGCUGUUCAGAAAUCUGAGGCAAGUUCAAGGCCAAUCUAGGUAAUUUAGUAAAAUCCUGUCUCAAAAGGUCAGAAAGGGCUGGGGAUAUGGCAGUGCUAGAGUGCUUCCUAGCACGUGUGACACUAAGCUCAAUGCUUGGUGCCUUUUUAAAAAAGUAUUUAUAAGCAACUUCUGGGGAAACUUUUUGUCUUGUGCUAGGAGAGGGGGGUUAGUAUUGAGUGGCCCAAUGGUCAGGGGUCUGGGGCAUGCCAAGGACUUAGCAUGAAGUCCCCUCCUGCCAGAGCCUCAAUUCUCCCUUCUGUUAAUCAUGUUCUUCCAAGGACUUUCAGCCCAGGCUUCAGAGUUAACCUGACCCUGGGAGAGUUCACACUCAUCUCUUCUUUCCUGGUUCAAGGGACAAAGCCAAGCCAACAGUUUAGGGAUAGGUACUUCCAGGACAGUAGGCAAGGCCACUAGGUCUAGCCUACCCACUACCUCAGCAGGAUUCAGAAACCACUUGAAACUCCACAGUGUUUUGCUUUGUUUUGUGACUUCCAAAGGCUAACCUCGCAACACUCCAUAGCAGAUGAUCAAUAAACGCAAAUGGAACUGGU